UACGGAGGAUCCGAGCGUUAUCCGGAUUUAUUGGGUUUAAAGGGGGCGCAGACGGCAAUGCAAGCCAGGAGUGAAAGCCCGGGGCCCAACCCCGGGACUGCUCUUGGAACUGCAUGGCUGGAGUACAGGAGGGGCAGGCGGGAUUCCUAGUGUAGCGGUGAAAUGCGUAGAUAUUAGGAGGAACACCGGUGGCGAAGGCGGCCUGCUGGACUGUGACUGACGUUGAGGCCCGAAGGCGUGGGGAGCAAACAGG
rnacentral:rRNA from 1 species